GUGACAGAUUGUAAUCUUCUGAUUAUUGACAGAUUUUAGUAGAUUCAAUGGAUUUAAAAGAGGUUUUAGCUAAAUCUAUUAUUACCUCAGAUUUUUUAAGGAAGGACAAAGUUGGCAAUUAUUUAGAAAGCAAAAGGCACAUUAAAAGGCAAAGACGGUUAGAGAAGGACUUGACUCGAGGUAAAAAAUGGUAUGAUAUGCCAGCAACAGAACAGACCCCUGAGAUUAAAAACGAUUUGACUAUUUUGAAUUUAUCGUCUUCGUUAUACCCAAAAAAUUAUUACAAAAAAUGUGAUUGGAAAACCAUUCCCAAAUAU